rnacentral:rRNA from 1 species
UACGGAGGAGGCAAGCGUUAUCCGGAUUUACUGGGUGUAAAGGGUGCUCAGGUGGUUGUGCAAGUCAGGGGUGAAAUCCUAGAGCUUAACUCUGGAACUGCCUUUGAUACUGCAUAGCUUGUGUACGGAAGAGGCUGAUGGAAUUCCUGGUGUAGCAGUGAAAUGCGUAGAUAUCGGGAAGAACACCAGUGGCGAAGGCGGUCAGCUGGUCCGUUACAGACACUAAAGCACGAAAGCGUGGGGAGCAAACAGG